rnacentral:misc_RNA from 1 species
GAUGAAGAACGCAGUGAAAUGCCAUACUUGGUGUGAAUUGCAGAAUCCCGUGAACCAUCGAGUCUUUGAACGCAAGUUGCGCCCGAAGCCAUCAGGUUGAGGGCACGUCUGCCUGGGCGUCACAUAUCGUUGCCCAAUGCCUAUUGCAGUGCAAUAGGAAUUUCUAGGGCGAAUGAUGGCUUCCCGUGAGCGUUGUUGCCUCGCGGUUGGUUGAAAAUCGAGUCCUUGGUAGGGUGUGCCAUGGUAGAUGGUGGUCGAGUUAGAACGAUACCGAUCAUGUGCAUGCUCCCCAAAAUAUGGCCUCUAUGACCCACACGCGUCUUUUGACGCUCAUGACGAGACCUCAGGUCAGGCGGGGCUACCCGCUGAAUUUAAGCAUAUCAAUAAGCGGAGGA